CAGGAGGCCCCCAUGCUCAGUUUAAUUUGCACUGCCACCAUCUUGAAACUCUACACAGUCUUAGCUUUGAAUUUCUGUUUUGUGACAGUGGAGCAUGUGUGUUCUCAGCCAUUUCUUGCUGCCCCAUUUGCACGCAGUGUUCAUACACGCCCGUGAGUGCAGGCUUCUGGAGGACCCUGCAUGCACAGGAGUUCAGUGAGGCUCCAGUGAGUCAACGGGGAGCUAUUCUCUACGGUUUCUUCCCUCUGGGAACCGGGCUGACGCAGACGCUGUCAUCUGAUCAUUGCUGCUCACCGUGUCAGAGAAAAAUCUCUCAUUAGCUCUUAAAGCUCUCGGCGAAGUCACACACGUCAUCUCACACCACACUGGCCAAGAAAGGCGCAGGUCCACAUCUCACCGUGGAACUGGAGGCCGUGGAUAAUAAAUAAUAAAGACCAGCCAAAAAAAAAUGACCAGCAACACAGGCCGAGCCGCAUGCCCUUGCUUUCUGUUGGAAUGUGCAGGGACGUGGAGGACCUAAGCCACCGCCUGUGCUGGAACAAAGAAGGUGUGUGUUACCAGCUAGACAUCUGACCACGAGAGUCACCAUUAUC